UACAUGGAUAACUGUGGUAAUUCUAGAGCUAAUACAUGCAGCAAGCCUUGACCCUCACGGGCAAGGCGCAGUUAUUAGAUCAAAAACCAAUCGGUUGUGUCUUCGGAUAUAGCCGUUAGCUUGGUGACUCUGAGUAACCACAGCGAACCGUAUGGCCUUGUGCUCGACGGUCUGUCAGUCAAGCAACUGCCUUAUCAGCUUGUUGUUAGGUUAUAUGCCUAACAAGGCUUCAACGGGUAACGAACGAUCGGGGUCGGAUAUCGGAGAGGGAGCUUGAGAAACGGCUACCACUUCCAAGGAAGGCAGCAGGCGCGCAAAUUACCCACUCUCGGCAUGAGGAGGUAGCGAUGAAAUGUAUCGAUGCGGGGCCAUUAGUGCCUUCGUAAUCGGAAUGAGUACACUUUAAAUCCUAUAACGAGGACCUAUUGGAGGGCAAGUCUGGUGCCAGCAGCCGCGGUAAUUCCAGCUCCAAUAGCGUAUAUUAAUGCUGCUGCGGUUAAAAAGCUCGUAGUCGGAUCUGGGUUCCCGGCGGGUACCGCAUGUUGCUUCAUGCAGCAUGUUGUGUACUAUACGUGUCGCUUCGGCGGCACUGCCAGUGUAGCGCUGUCUCUUGUAGGCACGUUGCGCUGGUCGCCGGAACCACGGGCCGGGUUGAGCAGCAUGCUCUUAAUUGAGUGUGUUGUUUACUCGGUGCGUUUACUUUGAAAAAAUUGGAGUGCUCAAAGCAAGCGUACAGUCGCUAUGCGGCUUGAACAGUGGUGCAUGGAAUAAUGGAAUAGGGCCUCGGUUCUAUUUUGUUGGUUUUAAGAUAUCGAGGUAAUGAUUAAGAGGGACAGACGGGGACGUUUGUAUUGCGACGUUAGAGGUGAAAUUCUUGGAUCGUCGCAAGACACACUAAUGCGAA
rnacentral:rRNA from 1 species